rnacentral:lncRNA from 1 species
CCGCCAAAACCUAUAUUUUAUUAAUUCUACACUAGUGAAUAAUGAAAAACUAAUUUUAAUUCUAAAGAUAAGGUAAUUUAUUCUGAAAGAUAUUUCAUUGCCUAUCAAGUUUUAACCUUUUAAUGAUAUAAACUAUAUACUGGAGCCUAGUGAUUAGGCUAAGUUAAAGAAGAAAUAAUUAAAUUUUCUACCAUAUUAAAGAUUCACAUUAAUUCAAACAAGAACAUACAAAACACAAAUAAUAAUAAUAAUGUAAGAAAUGUUGAACAAAAAUAAUAAUGAUUUUCUACAAAAGAAAAAUGACUAUCCUGAAGAAAAAGGGAAUGAGGAAUUAGACUGCUAGACGAAGAUACGUAAUGCAUCUGUUACGUUGCUUCUCUGAUUUGGACAGAGAUGGUGUCAAGCCAUGAGACCCCAAAUGCGCUCCAGAGUUUGCAUGAGACAAUGAAAAGGGAUAAGGAUUAGUAGCCAAUUAGGUAGUUAAAAAUGGAAUAAUAAAAUCAGCUUAAUAAGAGAAAAAAAUACAUUAGUAAAGACCAUUUUUUCCAAACUAAAACUUAUGACUAAAAAAUAAGCGAGGAGGAGAUACCAGGACAUAAGAGGGACCUAUGAUCACUUGAUGCACAAAGAAAAGCUAUGAACCAUACCAAGUAUCAUGUCUAGCUGUUUUGGAUAAAUAGAGUAAUUACUUAGCGAUCUUACAACCAAGGUAGUCACUGGGAGUAGACACAAAAUGCCUCAUUACCUUGAAUCCCUUUCUAAAUAUGACACUAAAACUAAUCAAAGCAUAUCCCUAAAAGUUCAUCAACAUUGUGUUUAAAUUGAAUCACUGAUCCAAAUACAUAAAAAAACAAAAAUUUCUUUUGCCACCUUCAAUUAUAUAGUUAUUUGAUCCUAACAUAUUCAUCUAGUUUAAAACUUAUUUUAACAAUGAAAUUUGAUAUCCCAGAUGUCAAAAAUAUGAAGAAUGAGUUAAGAGACUUAAACACAAAAAUAAGCAAAGACCUUGAGGAAACAGAAAAUGCAAACAAACAAGGGAACAAAAUCGGAUAACCGAUUUAAGAACGAAAUCAUUCAUGACCAGGCCAACGUCUUUUUUAUACUAAACUUAGACGGAAUACACAACUUAGAGCCAAGGAAAAGAUGAAGUCUCACAAGUUCUACGAGCUUAAUGCCCUUCAGAAAAGAAAAAAUGAAAUAGAUGUAAUUUUCAGCGUCAUCUUAACAGAUUUCGAAUUUCACAGAAAAAUGCUAAGCUUAUAGCCACCAAAAUGAAUCUGUACAUAGCACACAAGAAAAAUUUUACGUCCAAACAUUAGCACAUAAGUUUUGCUCGAAAAUAUGUUGACAUGUUGUUCAUUAUAUUUUCAAAAAAAACAGUUUUCAUGCCUAUUUAAUGGCUGCCGAGAUCUUGUAACCAUAUGGACGAGCAUUGGAAAAAUAAGAAGCUAUUACCAUGUUCAAGGUACUCAAACCAACGUCACAAUGAGCUUUAAACAUUCAGUUACUCUACAAAUAUGCCUC